rnacentral:lncRNA from 1 species
CUACACAAAAGCCAUUGUUGCACAAUUGUCAUUCACCAUACUAAAAAGCAAUGUUGGCAAUAUCAGCGCACCCACUGUAUCUGUCUCUAACCACUCACCCUCCGGAAUUUGCCCUGUCAAAGCGCCUGUCCGGAUUCAUCUCACUAUCUCAUUCCCCCCAACUCACCUCCUGGCAGCGUUGCAUAUCCGUAGCUUAGAGUCCAACCAGAACAGCACCACACGUCUAUUACCAGCCCCUUACCAAACUUAUGUACCUACACACCCAGUCAGCCAGCAGCAUCGCUCCCAGCUGAUCCACAGCACCCGCCCCAGCUUCUACAUAUCCAUACUUAACAGGAAUUGACCCAGGCGACUUCAGGAAGCCUUACUUGACAAGAGUCACCCACGAGUAGGGUUAUACAGUGCCCCAGCUGAGUUCACCCACUGUUAGCAAAGAAGCAUAACAGCCAGCUGUAGAAAUCCAUUACCUCUCCAUGUCUUCAUCCAUCCGAACGUGCUCCUUGGCAGCUUGCCUUAAUCGCACACCUACAUUUGUUUGGGAGACCCACCACACUAUUGGCCAUCUUCAUCUAGAAAGAGAACACCUUCUGUCGAACCUCCAGGGAGCAAGUCAGCUACACACUGCCUCUCAUUUGCCUUACUCCCGGGUCUCUGGUAACCCCAUCCAGCUGAAUACCCACGAACUCCUACCUGCCUUCUAGCUCCACCUUUCUUCUUAUUUAACCUUCUACUUAUAGCUGCUUAAACACACCAUUGGGUUCAACACCCAGUCCGAAAGAGAGUAAUUAAACUUAGCCCCUUUAUGCUUUAACCACAACCAGGAUUUAAGUUGAACUUUUUGGAAGACUUCUUCUUCAUCUACCACCUUUUGGUUGAACACUACUUCAUUUCUCUGCUCCCACAAGCACCUAACAAUAGUUGCCCAUACCCCUUUCCAAAACAGAUUCUGUUUAUUAUUUCCUUGUGUCAAGUGGAAGCUUUCAAAGUGAAUCCGAACUUCAUUAUGUUGAACAAACAGCACUCCAAUCCAUCUAAAAAACAUAGUCCAUAAUCUAUAAGCAACUCUGCACUCUAUGAACAGGUGUUGACUUGACUCCUCCUGGUUCUUACAAAGAGCACAUUCUAUAGUAACCAACACUAGUCCCCUCCUCUUUAAACACAGCCUGGUUGGG